AUACCAGUUCUUAGCUGGAAAUUGCUUAGAGCUUCUCAUACAGGUCCCCCACAUCUCUAUCCUUAAGUUCAGAGUGGGGAAGGAACCUUGACA